AAUAGCUUAGCUCAGUUGGUUAGAGCGUGGUGCUAAUAACGCCAAGGUCGCGAGUUCGACCCUCGUAGUGAUCA
rfam:Rhynchosporium commune strain TK7 genome assembly, contig: RCO7_scaffold029